UUGGAAUAAUUCUAAUGGGUUUUUCCCUUGCAAAUUUUAGGUGAAAGCUAAUGACUAUUUGGAUUGAUGAGAAGCUGAAUAGCUUUAAAAGUGGAGCCUAGAGGUUCCAUUCUAAGACAGUUGGUACCACAGAGAAACCUAUUUUAAAAUAGUUGAUAUAAUAUACACCAUGUAAUAAAUUUUUUACUCAUGGUUGAGUUCCUUCACCAGAAUAUUCCUCGGUGAUAUUUGAAAUUUCAGAUUUGAAAUAAAGCAUUGUUAUAUUGGGAUUGAUCUCA
rnacentral:lncRNA from 1 species